UCACACCCAGAAGUGGAGAGCCAGCGCAUUCCAUUCUGGAAGCAAUGGCCCAACCCAAUCACAGAUUUUAUUUGAGAGAAAGCACAUGAGCAGGGGGAGGAGCAGAGACGGGGAGACAUGCUGACUCCCCAUCAAGAAGAAUCGCUUGAUUCUGAAAGUCUUGUGAGAAGACAUGGCGGUCACAGUCAACCACACGCAACCAGGAUGGCGGCGGAGACAUUGAUUCAUUUUAAAGAAUUAAAAUGAUCUUAGCUUGGGUAGCCCUGGUGGCUCAGUGGUUUAGCUCUACCUUCCGCCGAGGACGUGAUCCUGGAGACCCAGGAUGGAGUCCCAGGUCAGGCUCCCUGCAUGGAGCCUGCUUCUCCCUCUGCCUGUGUCUCUGCC